rnacentral:rRNA from 1 species
UACGUAGGGGGCAAGCGUUGUCCGGAAUCAUUGGGCGUAAAGAGCGUGUAGGCGCCAGAAAAGUCCGCUGUGAAAACUCGAGGCUCAACUUCGAGCUGUCGGUGGAAACUUUCUGGCUAGAGUCCGGAAGAGGAGAAUGGAAUUCCUGGUGUAGCGGUGAAAUGCGCAGAUAUCAGGAAGAACACCCGUGGCGAAGGCGGCUCUCUGGGACGGUACUGACGCUGAGACGCGAAAGCGUGGGGAGCAAACAGG